CCUCUAUAGGAAAGCAGAAAUCCAUUGGUUU
rnacentral:tRNA from 1 species